ensembl:snRNA U1 U1 spliceosomal RNA
AUAUAUACCUGGCUGGGGAAAUGCAUUAAUCAUCAAGGUGGUUCUCCCAGGGGAGAGGCUUCACCAUUGGGCUUUGGUUGAUCUGACAUCUGUGAACUCCCCAAAGGUGCAUAAUAUUUGGCAGUGGGUGACUGUGUUCACUCUCUGCCCUU